GGGAGAGCCGGCUCGCAGCAUGACGACGCCCCGCCGCUUCGACAAGGCGCUGAAGAUGUCCCUGCGGAGGAAGACCAAGAUUCAUUCGGCGGCUGGAAAUUUCAAGGCACCUGGGAUGAUCUCACCUCAACCACACCAGAAGCAGUUAGAUGGCUAGUUUCCACAUCUAUCCCAUUGCAAUUCAACGACUCCGUAUUAUGAUAACUUGUACCCAUGGGUUGAUGACUCCUGAAGAUAUGAAAUACGUUGUUUCCAAGCAGCCUGAAAAGCUGGAAGUUGUUAUGCGUGUAACACAAACCACUGAUUAUU